rnacentral:rRNA from 1 species
CCUACGGGAGACAGCAGUGAGGAAUAUUGGUCAAUGGGCGGGAGCCUGAACCAGCCAAGUCGCGUGAGGGAAGACGGUCCUAUGGAUUGUAAACCUCUUUAGGCGGGGAGCAAUGCCGGGCACGUGUGCCCGGAGGGAGAGUACCCGCAGAAUAAGCAUCGGCUAACUCCGUGCCAGCAGCCGCGGUAAUACGGAGGAUGCGAGCGUUAUCCGGAUUUAUUGGGUUUAAAGGGUGCGUAGGCGGAUUUUUAAGUCAGCGGUAAAAUGUCCGGGCUCAACCCGGGCCGGCCGUUGAAACUGGGGAGCUUGAGUGGGCGAGAAGUAUGCGGAAUGCGUGGUGUAGCGGUGAAAUGCAUAGAUAUCACGCAGAACUCCGAUUGCGAAGGCAGCAUACCGGAGCCCGACUGACGCUGAGGCACGAAAGCGUGGGGAUCGAACAGGAUUAGAUACCCCAGUAGUC